rnacentral:rRNA from 1 species
AGCUUCAGUAGCGUAUAUUAAAGUUGUUGCAGUUAAAAAGCUCGUAGUCGCAUUUCUGGCGAGAGGAUCCGGUCCGACCUUUUGGUGGGUUCUUGGGUCUCUUUCGCCAUCCUUGAGUGGUCCGUUCUGGCAUUAGGUUGUCGGAGCGUCAGCCGCUCAUCGUUUACUGUGAGAAAAUUAGAGUGUUCAAAGCAGGCUUAUGCCGUUGAAUAUAUUAGCAUGGAAUAAUAAGAUAGGACCUCGGUACUAUUUUGUUGGUUUGCGCGCCAAGGUAAUGAUGAACAGGGACAGUUGGGGGUAUUUGUAUUUCGUUGUCAGAGGUGAAAUUCUUAGAUUUACGAAAGACAAACUACUGCGAAAGCAUUUACCAAGGAUGUUUGCA